AUUGAACGCUGGCGGUAUGCCUUACACAUGCAAGUCGAACGGCAGCGGGGGAGAAGCUUGCUUUUCCUGCCGGCGAGUGGCGAACGGGUGAGUAAUACAUCGGAACGUGCCCUGUAGUGGGGGAUAACUAGUCGAAAGAUUAGCUAAUACCGCAUACGACCUGAGGGUGAAAGUGGGGGACCGCAAGGCCUCAUGCUAUAGGAGCGGCCGAUGUCUGAUUAGCUAGUUGGUGGGGUAAAGGCCUACCAAGGCGACGAUCAGUAGCUGGUCUGAGAGGACGAUCAGCCACACUGGGACUGAGACACGGCCCAGACUCCUACGGGAGGCAGCAGUGGGGAAUUUUGGACAAUGGGCGAAAGCCUGAUCCGGCAAUGCCGCGUGUGUGAAGAAGGCCUUCGGGUUGUAAAGCACUUUUGUCCGGAAAGAAAUGGCUCUGGUUAAUACCUGGGGUCGAUGACGGUACCGGAAGAAUAAGGACCGGCUAACUACGUGCCAGCCGCCGCGGUAA
rnacentral:rRNA from 1 species